GGACGGGUGAGUAACACGUGGAUAACCUACCUAUAAGACUGGGAUAACUUCGGGAAACCGGAGCUAAUACCGGAUAAUAUUUUGAACCGCAUGGUUCAAAAGUGAAAGACGGUCUUGCUGUCACUUAUAGAUGGAUUCGCGCUGCAUUAGCUAGUUGGUAAGGUAACGGCUUACCAAGGCAACGAUGCAUAGCCGACCUGAGAGGGUGAUCGGCCACACUGGAACUGAGACACGGUCCAG
rnacentral:rRNA from 1 species